rnacentral:tRNA from 1 species
GGCGGCGUAGCCAAGCGGCUAAGGCGACGGUCUGCAAAACCGUUAUUCACCGGUUCAAGUCCGGUCGCCGCCUCAA